GAUGAGAUUUCCCAUUCCGCAAGGAAGUAAGAUCCCUGAAAGAUGAUCAGGUUGAUAGGUCUGAGGUGGAAGUGUGGCGACACAUGGAGCUGACAGAUACUAAUCGAUCGAGGACUUAACCUAAA
rnacentral:rRNA from 1 species